AGAGUUUGAUCAUGGCUCAGAAUGAACGUUGGCGGCGUGGAUUAGGCAUGCAAGUCGAACGGGCCGCAAGGCCAGUGGCGCAAGGGUGAGUAAGGCGACGGUAACCAACCCCGGGAUUGGGUAUAGCCGCGGGAAACCGCGGGUAAUCCCCAGCGACGCGACGACAUCGGCAUCGGUGUCUCGCCAAAGCUUCGGCGUCCUGGGACGGGCUGUCGUGGUAUUAGCUUGUUGGCGGGGUAAUGGCCCACCAAGGCUCUGAUGCCUACCGGGCGUGCGAGCGUGGCCCGGCACACUGGGACUGAGACACUGCCCAGACUCCUACGGGAGGCUGCAGUCGAGAAUCUUCGGCAAUGGGCGCAAGCCUGACCGAGCGACGCCGCGUGGAGGAUGAAGGCCUUCGGGUUGUAAACUCCUGUCGAGGGGGAAAAAGGGCCGCAAGGCCUUGAUUGAUCCCUGGAGGAAGCACGGGCUAAGUUCGUGCCAGCAGCCGCGGUAAGACGAACCGUGCGAACGUUAUUCGGAAUCAUUGGGCUUAAAGCGCGUGUAGGCGGAUUCGUGCGUCUGUCGCUGAAAUCCCCCGGCUCAACCGGGGAACGGGCGCGGAUGCGACGAGUCUGGAGGGGCAUAGGGGGACCUGGAACUUCCGGUGGAGCGGUGAAAUGCGUUGAGAUCGGAAGGAACGCCCGUGGCGAAAGCGAGGUCCUGGAUGCCUACUGACGCUGAGACGCGAAAGCCAGGGGAGCGAACGGGAUUAGAUACCCCCGUAGUCC
rnacentral:rRNA from 1 species